rnacentral:sRNA from 1 species
CGGAGGGAUCAUUGCUGGACGCGCUUCGGCGCACCCAGAAACCCUUUGUGAACUUAUACCUAUUGUUGCCUCGGCGCAGGCCGGCCUCUUCACUGAGGCCCCCUGGAAACAGGGAGCAGCCCGCCGGCGGCCAACCAAACUCUUGUUUCUAUAGUGAAUCUCUGAGUAAAAAACAUAAAUGAAUCAAAACUUUCAACAACGGAUCUCUUGGUUCUGGCAUCGAUGAAGAACGCAGCGAAAUGCGAUAAGUAAUGUGAAUUGCAGAAUUCAGUGAAUCAUCGAAUCUUUGAACGCACAUUGCGCCCUCUGGUAUUCCGGAGGGCAUGCCUGUUCGAGCGUCAUUUCAACCCUCAAGCCUGGCUUGGUGAUGGGGCACUGCCUGUAAAAGGGCAGGCCCUGAAAUCUAGUGGCGAGCUCGCCAGGACCCCGAGCGUAGUAGUUAUAUCUCGCUCUGGAAGGCCCUGGCGGUGCCCUGCCGUUAAACCCCCAACUUCUGAAAAUUUGACCUCGGAUCAGGUAGGAAUACCCGCUGAACUUAAGCAU